AGUGAACGCUGGCGGUAGGCCUAACACAUGCAAGUCGAACGGCAGCACAGUAAGAGCUUGCUCUUACGGGUGGCGCGUGGCGGACGGGUGAGGAAUACAUCGGAAUCUACUUUUUCGUGGGGGAUAACGUAGGGAAACUUACGCUAAUACCGCAUACGACCUACGGGUGAAAGCCGGGGAUCUUCGGACCUUGCGCGAGUGAAUGAGCCGAUGUCGGAUUAGCUAGUUGGCGGGGUAAAGGCCCACCAAGGCGACGAUCCGUAGCUGGUCUGAGAGGAUGAUCAGCCACACUGGAACUGAGACACGGUCCACACACCUACGGGAGGCAGCAGUGGGGAAUAUUGGACAAUGGGCGCAAGCCGGAUCCAGCCAUACCGCGUGAGUGAAGAAGGCCUUCGGGUUGUAAAGCCCUUUUGUUGGGAAAGAAAAGCAGCAGGUUAAUACCCCGCUGUUCUGACGGUACCCAAAGAAUAAGCACCGGCUAACUUCGUG
rnacentral:rRNA from 1 species